rnacentral:rRNA from 1 species
GACGAACGCUGGCGGCGUGCUUAACACAUGCAAGUCGAACGGAAAGGCCCUGCUUUUGUGGGGUGCUCGAGUGGCGAACGGGUGAGUAACACGUGAGUAACCUGCCCUUGACUUUGGGAUAACUUCAGGAAACUGGGGCUAAUACCGGAUAGGAGCUCCUGCUGCAUGGUGGGGGUUGGAAAGUUUCGGCGGUGGGGGAUGGACUCGCGGCUUAUCAGCUUGUUGGUGGGGUAGUGGCUUACCAAGGCUUUGACGGGUAGCCGGCCUGAGAGGGUGACCGGCCACAUUGGGACUGAGAUGCGGCACAGACUCCUACGGGAGGCAGCGGUGGGGAAUAUUGCACAAUGGGCGGAAGCCUGAUGCAGCAACGCCGCGUGCGGGAUGACGGCCUUCGGGUUGUAAACCGCUUUCGCCUGUGACGAAGCGUGAGUGACGGUAAUGGGUAAAGAAGCACCGGCUAACUACGUG